rnacentral:misc_RNA from 1 species
GAAAUGCGAUACUUGGUGUGAAUUGCAGAAUCCCGCGAACCAUCGAGUUUUUGAACGCAUGUUGCGCCCGAGGCCACCCGGCCGAGGGCACGCCUGCCUGGGCGUCACGCCUCGCGUCGCUCCGCCUACCUCGCCUGAGCACCCCGUGCUCUUAUGGCGGCGGACGGCGGAUGCGGAGAUUGGCCCUCCGUGCCUUGCGGUGCGGUGGGUCGAAGUGUCGGUCGCCGGCCGGGCUUGGCACGGUGAGUGGUGGACGGACUAGCUCCCGAGCGCCGGACGCCGUGAAAAACCAUCCCGAUGCCGGGUACAUGACAGAGAUGAUAAGAACCCACACCGAAGGGCGCAGCGCGCCAUCGGAUCGCGACCCCAGGUCAGGCGGGAACACCCGCUGAGUUUAAGC